UACUCAAUCAGGAACCCGCUUAAAAUCACAAAACCCCAAACUCAUCAUAUUCUUAACCAUAACUAUUCUGUAUUUUUUUCUUCAUUCGAUCGAAAUUCUACGCAGAGAUUCAUGGAGUUAUGGCCUAGAUUUCGAAUUGAGAUCUUCUUCCUCCUUGUAUUUCUCAAAUUCUAUCACAAUAAUUUACAUAUCUUGCCAAAAAUUACUUUCUUUCUCUUAGAUCUGAUUGUUUGCAUUGAAAAUUGAUUUGCGACAUCUACUGCUCUUGUUCUCCUCAAAGGGACUAUGAUUAAGAGGGUGUGAAGAAGAUUUUUCUACACUUGCUGCUUUUUUGCUAAUUUGGUGCCUACAGCCUACCUGAUCUCCCUGCUGCUCUUGUCUUGCUGACAUAGAAGCCACAUUGGCAACCUCAUGGAAAGUGACUAGGCAAAAGGUUUGGAGUUGCAGGUGAGUGGUCCCGAAGCUGAUAUAGAUGCUUUAUGUGUGGGGCCAUCAUAUAUCAACCGAGAUGAGGAUUUCUUUUACAUUUUCCAUGAUAUUCUAGCACAAUUGGUGGAAGUGACCGAGCUUCAACCAAUUCCUGAUGCGCAUGUACCUGUGAUGAAAUUUAAGUUUGAUGGGAUCUCUAUUGAUCUUCUUUAUGCUAGUGUUUCCAUCUUCGUUGUUCUUGAAGACUUGGAUAUGUUUCGGUUCUAUACAAUGUUGACGAAGCUGUUGUCUUCCAGAAUUAAUUCUACGCUACAUGCAGGGUCAAAAGAUUAUGUAGACAUCCAUGUAUGAAUGCCGAGAAACAGUUGAAAAAGGCUGACAACUAACACUGCAAUAUUUAAAGGACGGAAGAAAGAUAUAUUUAAGCUCUUUAAAGAUUUCAAUUAGUGAUUCGGAAUUUGUUACACUACAACUAGUCACGAAUGAAUUCUAAGUUUCAAUUAUAAUUGUUGUUAUAGAAACUCAUUACUAUGAGAUAUUGUAUAUAUGCUAUAAUAUAUUUAUAUA